CACAGAGGGGGCAAGCGUUAUUCGGAAUUAUUGGGCGUAAAGGGCGCGUAGGCGGCUUUGCAAGUGACGGGUGAAAUCCCUCGGCUUAACCGAGGAACUGCCUGUCAAACUGCAUGGCUUGAGACCGGGAGAGGUGAGUGGAAUUCCCAGUGUAGCGGUGAAAUGCGUAGAUAUUGGGAGGAACACCAGUGGCGAAGGCGGCUCACUGGACCGGUACUGACGCUGAUGCGCGAAAGCGUGGGGAGCAAACAGG
rnacentral:rRNA from 1 species